rnacentral:lncRNA from 1 species
AAGCAAGCUGCCAGGAUUAUGACGGGGCCGCGGGCUGAGAGAGAGCAGUGCUUUCCUGCCUCGGAAAGUACGUGCUGCGAGGGGUGAUGCGCAUCGACUCGCUGGUGCAGCUGAGUCACGCUGAGCUGGCAAGCAUUUCAUCUAAACGAGCUGAAGUUUCCCCUCCACAGUGAGCAGUUGAGGCCGUCUGUGGUUAUACAAGGUAAAGGAAGGAGGCGGCUGGCACCACCGAGCCGGCAUCCUGCCUCUCCUAGUGAGUCACGCUGCAGGCCCAGUCCACCAGUUGUGUUCCCAGGGGCGUCUCUGUAUUGCUCGAGAGGUGGCAGUAACAGGUCGUGCAUGUGACGGCGUGGUCCCGUUGCCUCGAUCAUUUCCGCAUUGCUUUCUAGCGUGAUGACUAUGAGGCGGGUGCAAGUCCUGCCAUCCCUUGCCCUUGCUGGUAGCUGACCCUGGCUGUGGUAUGCAGCAGUUAAAGUGCCUGGAGGCAAUUAGCCACAUCCCUCCUCCAGCCGCGCUGGCUCCGCGCACUCAUUCACCCGCCUCGCUUUUGGCUGCUGCUGAAGCCUGGCACGGCGCGGCUGAUGAGGAUCUCGCUGCUGAGCAGGUGAAGGGGAAAGCUGCCAGCUCUCCCCAGACCCUCUGCUUGGCAAGCGCUCCUGCCGCUGCCUUCCUCUGCACAGGGCUUUGCGGCGGUGCACGACCCAGCCGGCUGAGCCGGAGCCUCCAAGCAAAGCUGGCGGGUCUCGCAUUUCCUGGUGACUUCCCAAGGACCUGCCUGACAUCAGCCGGACAGCUUCUCGGCAGCCGGCGUCCUGUGCAGCUCUCACGGCCCGCCCUGCUCCCUCACAUCUCAAUGAACGAGUGGCUCCGGUUCUCCCUGUGCUAAUACCACUUCCACUGCUUCGCUGACCCCUCUAAUGCUCCUCCGGCUUUGAUGUUUGCCGGCGGAGCCCGUCGACAAUGAAAUGCUAAAGCCAGCCCAGCUUUGAACUGCGACGAGCCACGUGGAAGUGGAAUCGAUCCUGCCGCCGGACGACUCCAUAAUGAAGAGCCGAGUCCUGCGCAGCCGAGUGUCGCUCCUCUGAUGUCUUCAUCGCCUUUAUGGGCUGGGAGGGAGUCGAUUUACUCCGCUUUCAAGGAAGGCCGCUGCAAAUGGGCUGCCUGCUGAUUGUUUCCUUCCCACCAGCAUCUGCAGCGGUAGGCCCUUGAUCUGCCCCCCGCCGCAGGGACAAGGACGUGCGUCUUGCCCUCCGCGCAGCUGCCACCCUGGCCUCCCUGCCUGGCAGCCUCUGGCUGCUGAGCUAGGAAAGCAGAAGUGGGCAAAGCAGCCACAAUACAGCGCGUGAGCCCUGCCCACUACCUGGCACAGGCCAGGCCAACCUCCCCCCGGGCUUUCUCGGGGUCUCGUGGGGGUGGGCUGCAGCUGUGUCGGAGCUGGGCGCUGCCCCGGCUGGCCCCACGGGCACCUGAGCUAGCGACGCUGCAAGCAGCUCGGCCACGUCACAGCCACGUAGACAGACCCUCAGGGAAAAGAGAUGCAGGAGGCCUGGGGUGCACAGCCGAGGGCUACACAUGCCACUCGCUCUUGAAGGAAGGGCUUUUGGGGGCUGGUUUGAGGGUUUUGCUUCCUCCGCAUCUGUAAGCCAGGCCCCAUUUGGGUGUCUCCGGAGAGGAGCCAUGAGCCCCUAGCCCCCUUUGGGGCUCCCCACCGUAGGGCCCCAGGGAUAUGUGCUGCCACAGCCCCGCCUCACUUCCCCCUCUCCCCUCGCAGCGCCUCUUGGUGCUCCGGUCACGGAAAUCAUACGUGACUCACAAGACAGAGCGAGCCCCGGGGCCGCGCUCGCUCCCCUGGCCCGUCCAGAGUCCAGCAGGAGCACCUGUGGGAC